GAUCUCUUCUUCACACAAAAAUUAAUGAAACACAUUAGCCUUCCUUCUCCUUUUCAACUCCUCUCUCUAGAAAAGAAGCAAUUCAAGCUGGCACCUUUGUAGGACUUCUCCAGAAGGCUGCCAAGAAGCAUCAGCCCUGUGUGUUCCUUUGAAUAUUUCAAGCUUUCUUGAAGAUUUAUAAAGUAUUGGCAAUGAUCUUUCCCAAUUUGUGGGAUCACUUAUUUUGAACCAGCUCUUACAGCUUUGACUUCAGCUUUCUCAGGAACUUUGUCUUCACUUUUCCUUGCACCUUUAUCUUCCGUUUUACCUGCCAUCUUGCUGUCCUCACAACUACUCCCAGCCUUUUCUGGUAUCUUCCACGGUUCUAGGAUGCCCUGCUCAUCCUUCCCUAGUCCACUGCCUUGUUUCCAACUUUCCAUCCCCAGCUAUUCAUUAACUUGAGGCCAAAGUGCACUUUGGUCCCUGAAGUCGAUGCAAUCCCCUUUAUUGUAUUUGCAGAAGCCGAAGGGCUCCAAAGGGCCUCACCUUCUAGGAUGCUUUUUUCUAUCAACUUAAAAUCAGCAGGCUCACUAUCCAUAUGACACUAUUAGUUUUCUCGAAUAUCUUAAGGGUAUAUAUCACUAUCACUCUCCCAAAAUCUAGUUGAAAUGAUAUCAAGUACAUUCUCUACCAGACAUCUUUAGUGAUGGAUUUUAUAACAAAAAGUCACAUUAAUCUUGUGGCAAGCAUACUAUUUACAUGGG